UUGUAUUUUAUUGCAUUCGCAGAGUCUGGCCCAAUAGGAGCGCUGAAUCCCACUUUAGACUACCAAUCGUCAGUCGACGGAAGUUGCAUCACCACAACAACAACGAGUACCGGGACAGCGAAGCAGCCGGUAAGUCCGCUAUUUUUUAUGGAAACUGGCAUUUCUUUUAUGUUUACGUCUUUUCAAGUGGCUACACCUGAUGAUGGCGACACUAGCAAUUCGUGUUGUAAAUCCAGAUGCCCCUGCACAUCGUCAGCAGGCCGGGUGAGAAGUAUGGUCUUCACCAAACCUCCACAGGAGCUGCUCAGCCGAGUCGCUGCCUUCACUCACGCACAGACGGUAUCCACGCGCCUUCACGUCUGCAGUGCCCGGUGGUGCUUUCCAACCGUGGCUCGUUACAAACGAUGUGACAUAUAUGAAGUCGUAAGUGUAUCGUGUAUUUAAUAUCGUACUAGGCAGAUUUACUGCACUGCGUAUGGCUGUUGUCAGUACAUGUUGCUCAUUGUAAACUUUCUUUAAGUGUGUAACAUUCACAAUGAUGCUGUUGAUGGUAACGUGUAUGAUUCCAGCGUACCUGACAGGCACUUUAGACCUUUUGUACACAGUUGAUUAUGUAAAGCCCCUGGCAUUGCAUUCAUAAUCAAGUUCACUGAUUGACUACCCUGCAGUGCUGUUUUCCUGUAUUCCCGUUUCAUCCACUUUAAUAAAGUGUGCUGUGUUACAGUAA